CAAGUUGGAAUAUUUUCUUUAGUAAACCUGCUGUUUUGCGUUCCCGUUUGCAGCUUGUCGUUCUCGGAAGACUUUUGCUGAAAAAUAUCAGAGCUCGCAGGGGGGCACCCUGGACCCGCACCUCCAUCUCCCUCCCACCGAAUCAGCUUUAAAGCGCUAUGAUUGAGCAACAGGUCAAAGAAACACCCCAACGUUAAAGCGAGAUCAGUGUACGGCGACAAUCCUGUCUAUUAACAGCAGUUUUUGUUACAAAAAAAAUAAACCGAUACCAUCCAUUGCUUAAAGAAUAAACAGCUACGGAUAUUACCGUCCACCAUCUAGUUACCUUUCAGAACAUUUCCAGCUUUCUUCCUAUACAUUGUCAAAUGGAGGCUGAGGCUUAUGCCAGGCAUCACAGGGCACAAGGCAGGAGACACUCUGGAUGGGAUACCAGUCCAUCACAGGACACAAGGCAGGGGACACCCUGAAUGGAAUGCCAGUUUAUCACAGUGUGCAUACACACACACACACAGAUCUGGCCGAGAAAAAAAGGAAGUAGAAGGAAAAAAAGUGAGUUGCUGCAGUGUUUCCUGUGAGAGAGGAAGAAGGAAGUGGCUGGUGGAGGGAGAUUCUGGAGUCUGCUCCCUCAAAACAAUAAAAAUCUUACUUGUGAAGGAAACGGACCUGCGUCAAAGGGGACCUGACAGAGUGUUUGAAAGGCCGGCAGCAAUGACCCAGCGGGCACAUGAGCAUAUGAUUGUUUGCCUGAAGUCUUUAGUCCAGCUCUCUGCACUCCCACAGAGCACAAAGACCACUUCUGUCAUUUAAAAACAAUAGCCACUGCAAAAGGAGAUUUGUUGUAAGGUUUACAUUAUUGGAAUAUUUUAUUUUUGGUAAGAAAUAAAUUUUAAAUAUGGCAUCUUCCCAUUGUGAAAA